rnacentral:rRNA from 1 species
UACAGAGGUGGCAAGCGUUAUUCGGAAUCACUGGGCUUAAAGGGUGCGUAGGCGGCCAUGUAAGUGAGGUGUGAAAUCCCUCGGCUCAACCGAGGAACUGCGCUUCAUACUGCAUGGCUUGAGGGAGACAGGGGUCAGCGGAACUGAUGGUGGAGCGGUGAAAUGCGUUGAUAUCAUCAGGAACACCGGUGGCGAAAGCGGCUGACUGGGUCUCUUCUGACGCUGAGGUACGAAAGCUAGGGGAGCGAACGGG